CUAGUAAUAUGGAACCCUUGCAAUGUAAUGACAACAAGAGCAAAUGAAAUUAAGGUAAUGAUGGCUUGUGUUUUCUCCUCACCCAUUUCUCCACUGCUGAAGUGCAGACAGGUUUCUCUGAACCUUGCUGCAGGAGGGGAAGUAUGGCUGCAGGCAUCAACACAUCCUGCUCUCCCUGAAAGAGCAGCUCCUUUCCAGAGGUAAGAACCAAAGAAGAAGGUCCAGCAAAGCAGCAGAGUUCUCGGAGGCAUUCCUGCAGCUGGGACUCCUCCCAUAGCUGGGAUAAUUAAAGGCUGAAGUAAGUGGACUUCAGAAGACUAGCAUGCCAGUGUUUGCUGGUACAAGCACUGAAUUUAUCUCAUCUGCCCCCUAAAGAAGUGUGGGCUUUUGAAAGGAAAACCUCUGUUGCCCUUCGGUUCUGGAUGUGUCCCAUCCCCUGGUCCCACACAGUCUUGUGGGUGGCAGCGAUUCUCUCUCCAGCUAUGUGAGCUUCUGAAACUGGGUGCCACUACAGGCAGCAGCCUCAUCCCUCGUAACAUCAAAGGGUUAACUGGAGAUGUGCCCAGAGAAGGGUUACUUUUGUGGCCCUAGUGAGCCAAAGAGAGGAGCCCUUUGGGCUGCCAGAUGGGUUUUCACUGCAAUAAGGCACAUGAAUCAAUGGCAAAGAUUGUCACAGCACAGAAUUGGGAACCAAGGAAGAAGAGUUAAUCCUGAAAUACAGUCAUGCCAACUGAGGUUAAAUUAUAUAUUCUCUAUCUGUACUGUAAGGUGUGAGUGAUGAGUCUGAGGGAUGCUGGCAUGGGCUAAGGAGAGGUAUCUGCAAUCUGAAGCAGGG